rnacentral:rRNA from 1 species
GCAUUUCCCUUACACCGAAAAGCCGCCCGUGCAAAUCGAGCCACCCUGACGCCCAACUGCUAGCCCAAAACCAUUUAUAAAACCAAAAUAUUAUUAACAUUAAAUAACCUAAAAUCCCCCAACAAACCAUUUUACCCCUCAAGUAAAGGCGAUAGAAAAAGGACUAACGGAGCAAUAGAAAAAGUACCGCAAGGGAAAGCUGAAAAAGAAAUGAAACAAAUCAAAUAAGCCUGAUAAAGCAGAGAUUACACCUCGUACCUUUUGCAUCAUGAUUUAGCAAGUAAAGCCCAAGCAAAGAGUCCUGUAGUUUGAGACCCCGAAACUAAGCGAGCUACUCCAAGACAGCCCAAAUAGAGCAAACCCGUCCCUGUGGCAAAAGGGUGGGAAGAGCUUUGAGUAGAGGUGACAAACCUACCGAGCAUAGUUAUAGCUGGUUACCUGAGAAAUGAAUAGAAGUUCAGCCCUCCGGCUUCCUGCCCCUCCCUAGUACUACUAAUAUCGGCUACAAGAAAACCAGAAGAGUUAAUUAAAGGAGGUACAGCUCCUUUUUAAUAGAAACACCUU